rnacentral:rRNA from 1 species
GAUUGCCUUAGUAACGGCGAGUGAAGCGGCAACAGCUCAAAUUUGAAAUCUGGCGUCUUUGGCGUCCGAGUUGUAAUUUGCAGAGGAUGCUUCGGCGAUGGCGCCGCCCAAAGUUCCUUGGAACGGGACGUCGCAGAGGGUGAGAGCCCCGUGUUCGGGCGGAUGCCUUCGCCGUGUGAAGCUCCUUCGACGAGUCGAGUUGUUUGGGAAUGCAGCUCAAAACGGGAGGUAAAUUUCUUCCAAAGCUAAAUACCGGCCGGAGACCGAUAGUGCACAAGUAGAGUGAUCGAAAGAUGAAAAGCACUUUGGAAAGAGAGUCAAACAGCGCGUGAAAUUGUUAAAAGGGAAGCGCUUGCGGUCAGAACUUGGCCGCCGUUGCUCGGGGAGGUCUCGCGCCUCCCUCGCUCUUCGGCGGCUGGGCCAGCAUCGGUUCGGGCGGCUCGAGAAAGGUCGCGGGAACGUAGCUCCCUCCGGGGAGUGUUAUAGCCCGCGGCGCAAUAGGGCCCGCCUGGACCGAGGUCUGCGCAUUUGCUCGGAUGCUGGCGUAAUGGCCCCAAGCGGCCCGUCUUGAAACACGGACCAAGGAGUCUAACAUUCGUGCGAGUGUUCGGGUGUCAAACCCGUGCGCGCAAUGAAAGUGAACGUAGGUGGGAACCCCUCGCGGGGCGCACCAUCGACCGAUCCUGAUGUCUUCGGAUGGAUUUGAGUAUGAGCACGUAUGUUGGGACCCGAAAGAUGGUGAACUAUGCCUAAGCAGGGCGAAGCCAGAGGAAACUCUGGUGGAGGCUCGCAGCGGUUCUGACGUGCAAAUCGAUCGUCAAAUUUGGGUAUAGGGGCGAAAGACUAAUCG